UGGGGAAUAUUGGACAAUGGGGGCAACCCUGAUCCAGCAAUGCCGCGUGAGUGAUGAAGGCCUUCGGGUUGUAAAGCUCUUUUGUCAGGGACGAUGAUGACGGUACCUGACGAAUAAGCUCCGGCUAACUUCGUGCCAGCAGCCGCGGUAAUACGAGGGGAGCUAGCGUUGUUCGGAAUUACUGGGCGUAAAGGGCGCGUAGGCGGUUCUAUAAGUCAGAUGUGAAAGCCCCGGGCUUAACCUGGGAGGUGCAUUUGAAACUGUAGGGCUUGAGAUCGAGAGAGGAAAGUGGAAUUACGAGUGUAGAGGUGAAAUUCGUAGAUAUUCGUAAGAACACCAGUGGCGAAGGCGACUUUCUGGCUCGAUACUGACGCUAAGGCGCGAAAGCGUGGGGAGCAAACAGGAUUAGAUACCCCCGUAGUCC
rnacentral:rRNA from 1 species